rnacentral:misc_RNA from 1 species
AAUAAUUUGAUAUUCUAGCUUUUUGCUAGUAAUAUUUUAUUUACUGUGAACUGUAUUAUUAUUUGGCGCUUGAGGAAUGUCUAUUAGCUAUAUGGGUAGGCUAUUAGAAUGUUAACCGAGUCAUAAUCAAGCUUAGGCUUGGUACCCUAUUAUUAUUUACCAAAUGAAUUCAGUAUUAAUAUUGUAACAUAGACCUAAAAAAUCUAUAAAAA